GCCCAGAAGUGCCAUGAAAGCCGCUGGCCCCCUUUGUUGAAGUCUCCUCACCUUUCCAGGAACAGCCCAGCAGUGAAACUUCUCUGCACGUUAUCCAGUCAUUGAAGGCUCCCUCUAGACAUCAGGUGUCUCACCCGCAAGCCAGUUCCAGCCCCACAUUCAACCUUGUGUCUCCAGACAAGGCAGCUCUCUGUCCAGGGUGGCAUUUACACUUCCACUGUACUCGGCUUUGCUCCUGCUGUUGCUUGGGCACUGCUUGCGGGAUCUUAGUGCCCUGACCAGGGAUUGAACCCACGCCCCCUGCAGUGGAAGCCUGGAGUCCCUACCACUGGACCACCAGCACUUCCUCAACAGGGCGGAGCAUCUAAUUAAAUACUUUGGUAUAAAGGGAUUUUUCUUCAGGCUGUUGCCGAUGAAAAGGGAAGUCGUCUUAUUGCUAAGACAAAGAAAGACUUUGAAGUUUUCAAACUGUGCUUCCUGAAGUGUGGACAGCUAGCCACCUGACUCGGAAUUACCUGAGAGAGCUGUUUAAAAUGUCACUUCGGCCCACUGUUCCAUGGUCUUUGGAGGUGGAGCCCGGGAACUGCCUUUUAGCAAGGUGAUUCUUAAGCCUCUGAUAAUUGAGACAAGUCUUCAAAGGGCAGUUACCAUAGAGAGGCUGCUGAGUGAGUGACCUUGAGGCAAACAGGUGCAGAGACAAAGGAAGAAACAUUGAUUGAUUAUCUCCUUUCAAGUAUUUUGUAUAGAAAUUAUGCCAUUUAAAGUUAUCAAUGGAAGAUUGCAAACAAGGGUCCGUCUAGUCAAAGCUGCGGUUUUUCCAGUGGUCAUGUACGGAUGUGAGAGUUGGACUAUAAAGAAAUCCAAGCACCAAAGAAUUGAUACUUUUGAACUGUGGUGUUAGAGAAGACUCUUGAGAGUCCCUUGGACUGCAAGGAGAUCCAACCAGUCCAUCCUAAAGGAAAUCAGUCCUGAAUAUUCAUUGGAAGGACUGAUGCUGAAGCUGAAACUCCAAUACUUUGGCCACCUGAUAUGAAGAACUGACUCAUUGGAAAAGACCCUGAUGCUGGAAAAGAUUGAAGGCAGGAGAAGGGGACGACAGAGGAUGAGAUAGUUGGAUGGCAUCACUGACUCGAUGGACAUGAGUUUGAGUGAACUCCGGGAGUUGGUGAUGGACAGGGAGGCCUGGUGUGCUGCGGUCCAUGGGUUGCAAAGAAUCAGACACAACUGAGUGACUGAACUGAACUGAACUGAAGUGACUUGCCUAAAAGCUGAGAAAACCAGAACUGAAUCUAGUUUGUUGUUUGUUUGUUUUAGACUGAAACACAUGACUUAGCAGGAUCUGAGUUCCCAACCAGGGACUGAGCCUGGGCCCCCGGCAGUGAAAGCACAGAGCCCUAACCCCCGGACCAGGGAAUUCCUUGAAUCCGUUCUAACGGAAAGCCCGUGGCUCUGCCAGCUCCCAGAAUCUGUCCACUUUUGCAUUUGUCAGGAAAGCCUAGAGAGUGAUGAACUGAGUGGCUGUGUCCUAUUUACCUUCAGACCCUGUAUUCAUUUACGCCUAUUGUACCCAGAGACCAUUAUAUCUGUAACGCAAGCCCUGCACCCAAUAG
ensembl:lncRNA